GACGAACGCUGGCGGCGCGCCUAACACAUGCAAGUCGAACGGAGCUGAGAGAAGCUUGCUUUUCUUAGCUUAGUGGCGAACGGGUGAGUAACGCGUGAGUAACCUGCCCUGGAGUGGGGGACAACAGUUGGAAACGACUGCUAAUACCGCAUAAGCUCACGAUCCGGCAUCGGCUUGAGGGAAAAGGAGUUAUUCGCUUCAGGAUGGACGCGCGUCCAAUUAGCUAGUUGGUGAGGUAACGGCCCACCAAGGCGACGAUUGGUAGCCGGACUGAGAGGUUGAACGGCCACAUUGGGACGGAGACACGGCCCAGACUCCUACGGGAGGCAGCAGUGGGGGAUAUUGCACAAUGGGGGAAACCCUGAUGCAGCGACGCCGCGUGGAGGAAGAAGGUUUUCGGAUUGUAAACUCCUGUCGUUAGGGACGAUAAUGACGGUACCUAACAAGAACGCACCGGCUAACUACGUG
rnacentral:rRNA from 1 species